rnacentral:lncRNA from 1 species
UGAGUAAAUGUAGUUCUUUGUAUUGAUUCUUGCAUUAGUCUUUUGAUAUUACACAAGGGAGUAUUUAUAGUAGUACAUAUGAAAUGGGAGCCCUUGGAUGAAGUGGCACGUGGCCUCAUCUCUUUAGUUCAAACAUCUUUUCCUAGGUAUGGGGCUUAACUUGCUAGCUUACGGCGCAUUUAUUGCUUGUGCAGGGCCUCCAUGCUAGUGACAAGACUUAACCUUUAUGCUUAUGACAAACGUUC